GGGCCGGUAGCUCAGUCAGGCAGAGCGUCUGGCUUUUAACGGGUGGGCAUGCGUGCCAGCUCGGAAGAUACCAGACGGUCGGGGGUUCAACUCCCUCCCGGCCCGUCA
rnacentral:tRNA from 1 species